GAUGAACGCUGGCGGCGUGCCUAAUACAUGCAAGUCGAGCGAACAGAUAAGGAGCUUGCUCCUUUGACGUUAGCGGCGGACGGGUGAGUAACACGUGGGUAACCUACCUAUAAGACUGGAAUAACUCCGGGAAACCGGGGCUAAUGCCGGAUAACAUUUAGAACCGCAGGGUUCUAAAGGGAAAGAUGGUUUUGCUAUCACUUAUAGAUGGACCCGCGCCGUAUUAGCUAGUUGGUAAGGGAACGGCUUACCAAGGCAACGAUACGUAGCCGACCUGAGAGGGUGACCGGCCACCCUGGAACUGAGACACGGUCCAGACUCCUACGGGAGGCAGCAGUAGGGAAUCUUCCGCAAUGGGCGAAAGCCUGACGGAGCAACGCCGCGUGAGUGAUGAAGGUCUUCGGAUCGUAAAACUCUGUUAUUAGGGAAGAACAAAUGUGUAAGUAACUGUGCACGUCUUGACGGUACCUAAUCAGAAAGCCACGGCUAACUACGUG
rnacentral:rRNA from 1 species